rnacentral:rRNA from 1 species
CCUACGGGAGGCAGCAGUGGGGAAUUUUGGACAAUGGGGGCAACCCUGAUCCAGCCAUUCCGCGUGAGUGAAGAAGGCCUUCGGGUUGUAAAGCUCUUUCGCAAGGGAAGAAAACUUAUGAUCGAAUAAAUCAUGAGGUUGACGGUACCUUGAUAAGAAGCACCGGCUAACUACGUGCCAGCAGCCGCGGUAAUACGUAGGGUGCGAGCGUUAAUCGGAAUUACUGGGCGUAAAGCGUGCGCAGGCGGUUUUGUAAGUCGGAUGUGAAAUCCCCGGGCUCAACCUGGGAACUGCGUUCGAAACUGCAAGGCUAGAGUGUGUCAGAGGGGGGUAGAAUUCCACGUGUAGCAGUGAAAUGCGUAGAGAUGUGGAGGAAUACCAAUGGCGAAGGCAGCCCCCUGGGAUAACACUGACGCUCAUGCACGAAAGCGUGGGGAGCAAACAGGAUUAGAUACCCUGGUAGUCCACGCCCUAAACGAUGUCAACUAGUUGUUGGUAGAGUAAAAUCUAUGAGUAACCGUAGACUACGCGUGAGUAGACGCCGUGGGAGGUACGGUCGCGAAGUAGUUAAACGUUACGAAGUAAGUUAGUUAGUACGNGNGAGAGCGACGACGACGACGACGGAGGAGGAG